UGAGAGCUUGCUUUUAUUAUUUUAGCGGCGGACGGGUGAGUAACGUGUGGGCAACCUGCCUUUUACUGGGGAAUAAUCACUGGAAACGGUGACUAAUACCGCAUAAUAUUCUUAGGAGGCAUCUUCUGAGAAGGAAAGGAGAAAUUCGGUAAAAGAUGGGCCCGCAUCUGAUUAGCUAGUUGGUGAGAUAACAGCCCACCAAGGCGACGAUCAGUAGCCGACCUGAGAGGGUGACCGGCCACAUUGGGACUGAGACACGGCCCAAACUCCUACGGGAGGCAGCAGUGGGGAAUAUUGCACAAUGGGGGAAACCCUGAUGCAGCAACGCCGCGUGAAGGAAGACGGUUUUCGGAUUGUAAACUUCUAUCAAUAGGGAAGAAAGAAAUGACGGUACCUAAAUAAGAAGCCCCGGCUAACUACGUGCCAGCAGCCGCGGUAAUACGUAGGGGGCAAGCGUUAUCCGGAAUUACUGGGUGUAAAGGGAGAGUAGGCGGCAAGGUAAGCGAUAUGUGAAAGCCUUAGGCUUAACCUGAGGAUUGCAUAACGAACUAUCUAGCUAGAGUACAGGAGAGGAAAGCGGAAUUCCUAGUGUAGCGGUGAAAUGCGUAGAUAUUAGGAAGAACACCAGUGGCGAAGGCGGCUUUCUGGACUGAAACUGACGCUGAGGCUCGAAAGCGUGGGGAGCGAACAGGAUUAGAUACCCUGGUAGUCCACGCUGUAAACGAUGAGUGCUAGGUGUCGG
rnacentral:rRNA from 1 species